rnacentral:rRNA from 1 species
GCGUUGUUCGGAAUUACUGGGCGUAAAGCGCACGUAGGCGGCUUUGUAAGUUAGAGGUGAAAGCCCGGGGCUCAACCCCGGAAUUGCCUUUAAGACUGCAUCGCUUGAAUUGUGGAGAGGUGAGUGGAAUUCCGAGUGUAGAGGUGAAAUUCGUAGAUAUUCGGAAGAACACCAGUGGCGAAGGCGACUCACUGGACACAUAUUGACGCUGAGGUGCGAAAGCGUG